UACGAACUGUGCGAACGUUAUUCGGAAUCACUGGGCUUAAAGGGUGCGUAGGCGGCUGCCUAAGUCAGGUGUGAAAUCUCCCGGCUCAACCGGGAAACUGCGCUUGAUACUGGGCGGCUCGAGUGAGGUAGGGGUGUGUGGAACUUCCGGUGGAGCGGUGAAAUGUGUAGAUAUCGGAAGGAACGCCAGCAGCGAAAGCGGCACACUGGGCCUUUCUGACGCUGAGGCACGAAAGCCAGGGGAGCGAACGGG
rnacentral:rRNA from 1 species